GCCAAGAGAAAUGACCGCGGAAUUUAUCUAGUAUAGUAUUAUUUUCUGAGAUAAUUUAAAUAAAAAUCUGAGAUAAUGGCCAGUCUUCUUUUAGUGCAAGACUAGUUUGAUUAUUAUACCCACAUUUGAUAUGAUUUAGACCUAUAUCUCUUUUUAAUACUAAUAUUUCUUUCCAUUCUUAUUUGAAACUGUAAUUGGUUCACAACCUCCUUCCAUUUGGGCUUAAGGGAGUCUUCC